rnacentral:rRNA from 1 species
GACGAACGCUGGCGGCGUGCUUAACACAUGCAAGUCGUACGGUAAGGCCCUUUCGGGGGUCCCCGAGUGGCGAACGGGUGAGUAACACGUGAGUAACCUGCCCACAACUUUGGGAUAACGCUAGGAAACUGGUGCUAAUACUGGAUAUGUGCUCCUGCUGCAUGGUGGGGGUUGGAAAGCUCCGGCGGUUGUGGAUGGACUCGCGGCCUAUCAGCUUGUUGGUGGGGUAGUGGCCUACCAAGGCGGCGACGGGUAGCCGGCCUGAGAGGGUGACCGGCCACAUUGGGACUGAGAGACGGCCCAGACGCCUACGGGAGGCAGCAGUGGGGAAGAUUGCACAAGGGGCGCCAGCCUGAUGCAGCAACGCCGCGUGCGGGAUGACGGCCUUCGGGUUGAAGACCGCUUUCAGCAGGGACGAAGCUUUUUGUGACGGUACCUGCAGAAGAAGCACCGGCUAACUACGUG